AUUUUAAUCAUAUACGAACCAUUUCAAUACUUUGGUUUUAAUUUAACAUUUAAUACUGGGUCACACUGCGCCCUCCUUACGAGCACCUGUCAGGUCAGGAAUGACAGCUUGCAGAAAGCUACUGGUUGCAUUGCAACUAGAGGCACCUUGUGAGUGUCACAGAAGUGAUGUCCUGUCAUUAUUGCUAGCUAAACUUGAUCUUGGGUGAACAGCACAUAAUGUCUUGGAAAGGAUUUUUACAUUGACUCAUUUCUGCAAAAGGAGAAAGUAGUGGUGGCUGCUGGUAUGUCACAUUUUUGAAAAUGUUUCUGAGGAAACCACUUUUGUUGUGUGUUCCUGUUGGUGUAGUUUGUGUGUAAUGAAAUAUGAUAAACGUGACAACAGAGCAUUUUGGUGGUAUGAUAGUCGUAUUUCCUUCUGCAGAAGAGGUCGUGUUCUUUACACACUUUGUGAACAUUAAGUUAUUAUUACAAUAAUCAAAUUUCAAAGUAUGGAACACCAGGCCACAUGAUAUGAAUAGAAACCGGCUAUUUGAACUUUUUGGUCUUGGAUGAUGUUGUGGUGACCUGCUUAUUUCUGCUCUUAGAAAUAAACGUGUAGUAUUUUGCAUCUCAAAGUAACAAACGCACAAAUUUGGAUAUUUUAGGCUGUAAGAGACCGAUGAGAGCAGCAUACAUGGCUGUGGUGUUUGUGUGUGCGUGUAAGUAUUCUUUAAAUAUGGGAGGUCUUGUAGUCUUUUGGGUGAAGAGGGUGUUUCUCUGGACUUCCUUAAAGUCUCCUCACUUCUUAUUUGCCUGGUCGUACAUAAGCAGCAAUGUUGACCAGUCAUUAUGUGGCUCCAAAAGAGAGAGAGGAUGUAGAACUCCCGUUACAAGGACAGACUGCCAAGAACGGCUGAACUCAUUUAUGCCAAAUAAAUGGAUGUAAGCAUCACAGUCCUGUAUCUCCAAUAUUACUAGAAGUAAAAAGCGCUGGUUGAGAAGAGGACUUCUUUGACUGACCUGUGCCGUCCCACAGGCUCAGGGAAAUCAUCGCCCCCC